rnacentral:rRNA from 1 species
GAUGAACGCUGGCGGCGUGCCUAAUACAUGCAAGUCGAACGAGGUCUUCGGACCUAGUGGCGAACGGGCGAGUAACACGUUAGUACCUACCCCGAAGUGGGGAAUAACUGCCCGAAAGGGUGGCUAAUACCGCAUAAUACCGCAAGGUUAAAGCAGUAAUGCGCUUCGGGAGGGGCCUGCGUCCCAUUAGCUAGUUGGUAGGGUAAUGGCCUACCAAGGCGACGAUGGGUAGCUGGAUCGAGAGGUUGACCAGCCACACUGGGACUGAGAUACGGCCCAGACUCCUACGGGAGGCAGCAGUAAGGAAUCUUCCACAAUGGACGAAAGUUUGAUGGAGCAACGCCGCGUGCAGGAUGACGGCCUUCGGGUUGUAAACUGCUUUUAUACGGGAAGAUUAUGACGGUACCGUAUGAAUAAGGACCGGCUAACUACGUGCCAGCAGCCGCAGUAA